rnacentral:rRNA from 1 species
CCUACGGGAGGCAGCAGUGGGGAAUUGUUCGCAAUGGGCGCAAGCCUGACGACGCAACGCCGCGUGGAGGAUGAAGGUCUUCGGAUUGUAAACUCCUGUUGAUUGGGACGAACGCCUCCGGGGAUAACACCCCCGGGGGGUGACGGUACUGAUUGAGGAAGCCCCGGCUAACUCUGUGCCAGCAGCCGCGGUAAUACAGAGGGGGCAAGCGUUGUUCGGAAUUACUGGGCGUAAAGGGCGCGUAGGUGGCCGCCUAAGUCGGACGUGAAAUCCCUCGGCUCAACCGGGGAACUGCGUCCGAUACUGGGUGGCUUGAAUCCGGGAGAGGGAUGUGGAAUUCCAGGUGUAGCGGUGAAAUGCGUAGAUAUCUGGAGGAACACCGGUGGCGAAGGCGGCAUCCUGGGCCGGUAUUGACGCUGAGGCGCGAAAGCCAGGGGAGCAAACGGGAUUAGAUACCCCGGUAGUCCUGGCCCUAAACGAUGAAUGCUUGGUGUGGCGGGUAUCGAUCCCUGCCGUGCCGAAGCUAACGCAUUAAGCAUUCCGCCUGGGGAGUACGGUCGCAAGGCUGAAACUUAAAGGAAUUGACGG